rnacentral:sRNA from 22 species
UUUUAGCCCCGAUAGAAGUGGAAAUCCUUUUGCUUUUUUCUUUAAAAAGGAAAAGAUUGCAGCGAAUAGCGGGAUCAGCU